CCCCCCCCCCCCCCGAAAAAAAAAAACGUUCUUUGUAAGUUUGCAGGUAGUAAUGAAAUAAUGGGUACGGCAUUAGGGUUUUUACUCCAUUUAGAAUGUUAUCAUUGAACUUGGAGUUAUCCCCUAAACACUAAUGACUAUAUCAGUUCAGUUUGUACCUGCCUAAAUUCUUCUUCUUGUGGAGAAAGCACUGAAUAAGAUAUAUACACUAAAAAAAAAAAAACACAUACAUUUUGUGAAAUGGUUUUGAUACGGUAGAACAUGCUGUGGACAAUUUGCUAUAAGCAUGAGAUAUACUAUUUGAUUGGUUUAGUUUGGGAUAGUAAUGUCUCUGUUACAAAUUAGCUUAUAAAUCCUGAUGGAAAAUUGAUAAGAUUUUGGGUGGACAUUGAUCAAUUUAUGAAAAUAAUAUCGCAUAUUCUACAACAUUAAUUAUCAAUAAUUAAGUAUCAACGGUCUUGAAUUUUUAAGAGAACGCAGAAAGAGUUCAAGAAAAAAAUAAAGGGUCUCAAUUAUUUCAUCUAAGAAUAAUUCUUGUGUCCACUGUGGAUCCUGUAUUUAAAUUGGUUUUCUAUAUAUAACAAAGUUGUCUACCUUUGCUUGUGCGUUUUUAUUUUGUCAGUAGCAGAGGUGUAGCUAGGGUGGGGGGAUGGAGGGGGAGAAUUUAAAAAUUCCCCUGGGCCCCCAAAUGAGUGUUUUUUUGUUUUUUUUUACAUUAACUAUUAAAUUUAUGCAAAAUACACUGGCCCCCAAAAAGGUCAAGCCCCCUGGGCCUCCAAAUGAUGGCACAUUCUUAGCUGCGCCACUGGUCAGUAGUGAUCUUUUUGAAAAAAUGUUUUUAUUAUUCACAUCUCAAAUCAUCACUUUUCACUUGGCUUGUGUUAAAUUAUUAGUUGUUGAUUUUUUAUGCAACUCAAAACUUUUCGCUUUUAUUUUGUCCUUGCUUUGAUGCAAUCUCCUAGUUAUGAUGACUUUUUUUUUGUUAUAUGUGUUCAAUAUUUUCAGCUAUUGCUGUCAUCAACCAUGUACGUAUUUUCUUCUAAAAGUCUCUUUACAAAAAUCUGUUGUAAAAAUAGGCAGUAUGUGUAUGAUUUGAGUAUAUAUUUCUUUAGUGCUUCGUUUUGUAAGAAAAUAGGUGCGCGUACUCAGUGAUGAAUUGCCUGACUUUUAACUACUAUGAAAUUAAUAUUAAUUGUUAAAAUACAAGAAAGCUUUCAAUGUUUUCCCCACAUUGAAAGAAAGUGCCAGUAUGCCAUACCGGUGCGUAACCGUCACAAAAAAAAAGCACUGUAUUUCUUAAACUUUUGUUAUUAAUUUAAUGAAAUGCAUGUUUUAAUUAUAAUAAUGAGCCAAAAUAGAGUACACCGAAUGGCUCCAAACAAAAAAAAAAUUUACUUUAAUGGGAUUGUCGGGUAUGUACUCUGUUCGCAGGAAUGGAUGUAUAGAUUGUUCGUUGCAGUGCUAAAACUGUUAGAUACUUUUACAUACGAGACAAUUCAUUGAAAUCUAUUUUUAGAACUGGUUUGUAAUUGGAUUUUUUUCUCCAUUGAGUUUUUUGUUUGUCUCUUUCUGCGUGUUUACAUUUUGGUAGUAACGUAAUCAUUACUCAUUGUCACAUUACAGCUCUACGGCACUAUUGAUUAGUUGAUGUAUCACUUCAUUUAAGCUAUACACAUUAAUAAUUAAUUUUAGGUUACCUACAAAAUAAGAAUCCAAUCCAGGUUUCACAGCUUAAAAUAAUUAAUCACUCUAUUAAAUAACGUAUUUCUUUUAUUAUUUUUUUUUCUCUUUUCUUUUCUACUCUGGUGUUAUAGUAGCUUUUAAGUUAAGUUUUUGUAGAAGGAAAAAAAAGAGACACCUGUAGUAAUAAGUGUUAAUGAGUAUUUUUUUUUAAUGAUUAAACAAAUAGGAAGGGUUGAGUGAUACUGUGCUACGUGUCCUACACCGUCGUGUCAAAUUUGUCAAAAUAUUUCUGUUUAAUAUUUGUGUCGUAGGAAAGGUUGCCACCUCCCGAAUACUCCACAACUCCACAAUAGUUUUCUUCCUCUACUACUUUAGCCAGCCUACUAUUGAAACGGAGGGGACUGAAGAUUAUCUUUUUUUUUAAUUCCUUAAAUGUUAGUGAAACUCGCUUCUUAUUUGUAUGGGUUGCAGGGCGUGCAAUGAUGACGUCACCAAGCAAUAACAAUUCAAAUUAUGUUAAUGUCCAGGAGAUGAAAAGACAAGUUCUGAACCGUGUGGGGCAAGUGAGGGACAAGUGUAUGACAUGUGUGGGACAUAAGCGGACUAUGUGUGGGCCAUGAGCGGACUA